CCUCACCUUAUCAUAAUAUCCUCCCUGCCAUAUACACCCCCACCUUGUCAUAAUAUCCUCUCUGCCAUAUACACCCAUACCUUGUCUCAAUAACCUCCCUGCCAUAUACACCCCCGUCUUGUCAUAAUAUCCUCCCUGCCAUAUACACCCCUGCCUUGUCUCAAUAACCUCCCUGCCAUAUACACCCUCGCCUUAUCAUAAU